UUGUCCACGAAAUGGCAAUUAAAUUUUAUGUGCAUGUGGGGAGACACAUCAUUCAAAGUGGAGGAAUCGACCGGUUUUUAUGUUCGAGUUUUCUCCCAACAACGAACUCAGGAAA
ensembl:ncRNA F27C1.18 ncRNA